rfam:Camelus ferus unplaced genomic scaffold scaffold632, whole genome shotgun sequence.
GAGGGUAUAGCUCAGUGAUAGAGUGACCGUUUAGCAUGCAUGACGUUCUGGGUUCAAUCCCCAGUACCUCCA